CCUACGGGAGGCAGCAGUCGAGGAUAGUNUNCAAUGGCCGAAAGGCUGAUAGUGNGACGCCGCGUGAACGAGGAAGCAUUUCGGUGUGUAAAGUUCUUUUCUAUGNAGCAGUGGAUUUAAUGGAAUAAUGUUAAGUCAGAGAUAUUACUAUAGG
rnacentral:rRNA from 1 species